rnacentral:rRNA from 1 species
GACGAACGCUGACGGCGUGCCUAAUACAUGCAAGUAGAACGCACAGUAUAUACCGUAGCUUGCUACACCAUAGACUGUGAGUUGCGAACGGGUGAGUAACGCGUAGGUAACCUGCCUGGUAGCGGGGGAUAACUAUUGGAAACGAUAGCUAAUACCGCAUAAUAUUAAUUAUUGCAUGAUAAUUGAUUGAAAGAUGCAACUGCAUCACUACCAGAUGGACCUGCGUUGUAUUAGCUAGUAGGUGAGGUAACGGCUCACCUAGGCGACGAUACAUAGCCGACCUGAGAGGGUGAUCGGCCACACUGGGACUGAGACACGGCCCAGACUCCUACGGGAGGCAGCAGUAGGGAAUCUUCGGCAAUGGACGAAAGUCUGACCGAGCAACGCCGCGUGAGUGAAGAAGGUUUUCGGAUCGUAAAGCUCUGUUGUAAGAGAAGAACGGGUGUGAGAGUGGAAAGUUCACACUGUGACGGUAUCUUACCAGAAAGGGACGGCUAACUACGUGCCAGCAGCCGCGGUAAUACGUAGGUCCCGAGCGUUGUCCGGAUUUAUUGGGCGUAAAGCGAGCGCAGGCGGUUAGAUAAGUCUGAAGUUAAAGGCUGUGGCUUAACCAUAGUACGCUUUGGAAACUGUUUAACUUGAGUGCAGAAGGGGAGAGUGGAAUUCCAUGUGUAGCGGUGAAAUGCGUAGAUAUAUGGAGGAACACCGGUGGCGAAAGCGGCUCUCUGGUCUGUAACUGACGCUGAGGCUCGAAAGCGUGGGGAGCGAACAGG